CCUACGGGAGGCAGCAGUGGGGGAUAUUGCACAAUGGGGGGAACCCUGAUGCAGCGACGCCGCGUGGGUGAAGGAGCGUUUCGGCGCGUAAAGCCCUAUCGGCAGGGAAGAAGGAGGACGGUACCUGACUAAGAAGCCCCGGCUAACUACGUGCCAGCAGCCGCGGUAAUACGUAGGGGGCAAGCGUUAUCCGGAUUUACUGGGUGUAAAGGGGGCGCAGACGGCAGCGCAAGCCAGGAGUGAAAGCCCGGGGCCCAACCCCGGGACUGCACUUGGGACUGCGCGGCUGGAGUGCAGGAGGGGAGGGCGGAAGUCCGGGUGUAGGGGUGACAUGCGUAGAUAUCAGGAGGAA
rnacentral:rRNA from 1 species